GCGGGCGUGGAGGACGCGGACGGCUCCGCCGCCGCGGAGGCGGCCGAGGUGUCGGCGAGAUGACGCUCGAUCGCGUCCAGAUGCCCGCCCCA
rnacentral:tRNA from 1 species